rnacentral:rRNA from 1 species
UACAGAGGUCUCAACCGUUGUUCGGAUUCAUUGGGCGUAAAGGGUGCGUAGGCGGCGGGGUAAGUCAGGUGUGAAAUCUCGGGGCUCAACCCCGAAACUGCACUUGAUACUGCCUCGCUUGAGUACUGGAGAGGAGACUGGAAUUUACGGUGUAGCAGUGAAAUGCGUAGAUAUUCGCAAGAACACCAGUGGCGAAGGCGGCUCACUGGCCCGGUACUGACGCUGAGGUGCGAAAGCGUGGGGAGCAAACAGG